rnacentral:rRNA from 1 species
AUGGCUCCUACUGCUGCCCUUCCAUGUGAUGAUGCCGGCCGUGAGCUCCCUCACGUUGCCAUCUUCCCGUUCAUGGCGAGAGGCCACACCGUCCCGCUCACCCACCUGGCGCACCUCCUACUACGCCGGCGCCUCGCCACCGUGACCUUCUUCACCACCCCGGGCAACGCGGCCUUCGUACGUGCCGCUCUGCCCGACGGCGUCGACGUGGUCGAGCUCCCGUUCCCGGACGGGGACGGCCGCGCUUCGCAGGGUGCGGAGAACGUCGAGGGUAUUGCGUCGGCGUCCUCCUUCGCCGCCUUCGCAGAGGCCACGACGGGGCUGCGGCCGCGCUUCGAGGAGGCGCUCGCGGCCAUGCGUCCCGCCGCCAGCCUGCUCGUCGCCGACGGGUUCCUGUACUGGGCCGGAGAGUCGGCCGGCGCGCUCGGUGUCCCGAGGCUGUCGUUCCUGGGAACAUCCGCGUUCGCGCACGUGAUGCGAGAGGCGUUCGUGCGCGACAAGCCAGGAUGUGGGCCUCCGCAGUGCGACGCUACAGGCGGCGCCACGGGCACCUACACGGUGCCGGAGUUCCCUCACGUCCAGUUCCUGCUGGCCGAUAUCCCCCCGCUGCCCCUGCCGGCGAUAGUCCUCGACGCAAAGAUGGCGAUGGCGGUCGCCGGGAGCCGCGGCGUGAUCAUGAACACCUUCCACCACCUCGAGAGCAGCUACAUCGAUCACUGGGACCGGCACGUCGGGCCCAGGGCCUGGCCCAUCGGCCCCUUGUGCCUAGCCCGGCAACCUUCUUCCACCGUCGUCGGCGAAGUCCAUAACUCCAAGUCCUCAUGGCUGCGGUGGCUGGACGAGAAGGCAGCCGCCGGCCAGUCCGUGCUCUUCGUCGCGCUCGGGACGCUGUUGGCGGUGUCGGACGAGCAGCUCAAGGAGGUGGCGCGAGGGCUGGAAGAGGCAGAGGUGAACUUCCUGUGGGCCGUGCGGGACGAUAGUUCUGACCUCGGCAUAGGAUUCCACGAGCGCGUCCAAGGAAGGGGCAUGGUAAUGGGAGGGUGGGUGGACCAACCGGCCAUCCUCCAGCACGACUGCGUGAGAGGAUUCCUAAGCCACUGCGGAUGGAACUCGGUGCUGGAGAGCAUGUGCGCCGGCGUGCCAUUGGCGGUGUGGCCAAUGAUGUUUGACCAACCUCUCAACGCGAAGCUGGUUGUUGAUGAACUUAAGGUCGGUGUCAGGGUCAGGUCUACCGGAGGGUUGGUCAAGGGUGAGGAGGUUUCGAGGGCGGUGAGGGAGAUAAUGUUAGGGGAGACAAGGGUGUCGGCGGUGAAGAACGCGGCGGUUCUGGCGGGGCAGGCACAACACGCCAUGUCCGCAGGUGGUUCGUCGUGGAAAAUGGUGGAGGAGAUGAUUAGCGAGCUGUCUGGGCAGCCGACAGACAAGGCUAGCAGGGCACACGUUGGUGGCAAGUAG